CUCAGUAGGAGCUUAGGCU
rnacentral:snRNA from 1 species